rnacentral:sRNA from 1 species
UGGAGAAAUGUAGUGCACGUGGAGGUCAAUACCACCUGCUGUUAAAAUAAGGCCUUCCCCAGAAAUUGCUUCAGUACUUGCUCCGACAACAAAGUCAAUAUUAUCCAUAAUAUCAGGGUUACCACCUUUACCGAUAGCAACGAUUUUACCAUCACGGAUGCCGACAUCGGCUUUGACAAUACCUGUAUAGUCAAUGAUAGUAAUGCCUGAAAUAAUGGUAUCUACUACA